GACGGCAUCCUUUUAUUUUUAUCGCAAUGACCUCAUGUCUUAUGGCAGAAGUUUACUAACGAGAGAAUCUCUUUCUUUUAUAUAACUUCGCCGUGCGCAGUGUCGUUCGCUUGGCUCUCUUCGUCCUGGCUGGGGGGACAUGGAGUGUCUUUAUUAAACUCCAACACUGGGCUGUAUGGCGAAAAAAAAGUCAUUUUCACGACAAAUUCUCUAACGCGGACACCAUAACUUUAGGCUGGAACUGGACCCGAGCAGUGUGAAACUUUAGUUUAAAUCACUCUUGGUGAAACCAUCAUUUGAUGGGAUGACCAAGCGCCAUGUCGACUUAUGAUGUCUACCCUGUUGUUUAUUUGUUGUCUCUUUGAUAUGAGGGGUGAAGAAUAUGCCAUGUGUAGGCAUGGUUGUUGUGUAUAUGCAUGUCGUCGACUGUGUACACUGUGGUUGAUCAGUCUGUCACAGAAAGAUGUUCCAAUCUGUCAAUCAGCUGUCACAACACAGACCCAUAAUUUACUUAAGCUGUUUCUAAGACCUCAAAGCAAAACACUUAUUAAAUCAAUUGAAUCAUAUGAUAACAAUCCCUGUAAACCUCGCCUUUGCAUCUUCUCUACCGAUAAAGGAAGUUAAAGGGCUAAUAUAAUAACAGUUUGCACAGAUCAUGUUAAUGAUUACAUCCUGAGGUGUCUACGGCAACAGGGUCAUUGAGAUUGGUUUCUGGGGGGUAGGCGAUAGGCAGACCAGUUUAUAUGAAGCGUAAGGUAUGUCUACUGUCGUCUGCCUCAGCCCGCUCUCUCCGUCUUAAUUACAUGUUUUAACCAGAUGUACCAGCUGAUUGAAGCAGAGUGAGACGUUAAGAGUGUGAUCAUCCCGAUUAAACGGUGUGUGUUUCAGGAAGCAGAUGUCUGUGAUGUUGUCUGGCCUGAUAUUACAUGUCGUUCUUUUAUCAGAAAAACUUCCACAGGAUACAUGAGCAGCUGGAACUAUCGCAGCAUCAGUUGGGGGCAUGAAUAAGGCAUUUUUGUCAGAUUGAUCCUAUGCAAAAUCUUGUACAAAUACAUUAUUUCAACCUGUUAUUUACUGUUAAAUACCGGUUAUUACAUACAACUGAAAUGACAUGCUGAUUUGAUGUUUUAAAUAAUUUUAAAAUAGUUUUAAAUAAUUGAUGGGAAGAAAAUACAAUGGAUGCACUUUGCCAGAAUUGUGAAAAGAUUCAAGAUUCAAAUUAAUGCAAAAUAAGUUAGGAAGAAUAAAAUAGCUAGUAUUGAACAAGCAUACCCACCUAAGAUAGUGAAUCUGAAAUAAGGUUAAUAUCAGCAUGGUCCUAUUUAGAAGCACAAAAGGUGUAUGAGUUUUGCUAAAAACCACUUUUUCCAAAGACAAACCUUGACCUAAAACAGGCCACAUCACUCGCUGGCCAAAUCUGAACGUCAUUUAAUGUGGAAAGUGACGUCACACAUAGUUGUCAUCAAUCACAUGACCUUAUUUUGUUUCUGAGCCUGCAUCUGUCGCUGUGCUGGGAUUUUAACGUUUAAUGUCUUUAAAAGAUAAUAAACAUUUGCCCCUCACAUCACCAAAUCCAAGAGGAUGGGAAUGAUUGUUUUGAAAGGUGACCACUCAAGUCGCUCAAGUGCAGUUUAUUUGUAUAGCUCAAAGGGCUUCACAGACCAUGUUUUAUGACCCCC
ensembl:lncRNA